GGAAGGGAGAGGGGUAGGGGAGGGGGUGGAGGGAGAGGGGGUAGGGGAGGUGGUGGAGGGAGAGGGGGUAGAGGAGGUGAUGGAGGGAGAGGCUAAAUGAGAGGUAGCAGAGAGGGGAGGGAGGGGAGAAGGAGGAAGUGGACAGGGGCAGGGAGGAGGUGGGGGAGAGGGGAGGUGGUGGGGCAGAGGCACAGGGAGGGGCGGUUGAGGAAGAGGAAGAGGUAAAGAGGGGGAGGCCGAGGGGAGGAGGUGGAAGGGCAUGCAGGUUCAGCUAUGGAAGAAAACAACCAUUUAAAUUAGUCCAAUCCCUCCUAACACAAAACAACCGUAACAGCCCCAGAACCUGUAGUGGCUCCAUCUUAGGGACCAGACUAGAAUAUGGGAGAAGGAGGCAGAGGGGUCAACUGGUGGACGGCUUCAUCUCCACCUGGAAGCCGUCCAGCGCCAACCAGGGGAGAACAUUCAGACGUUCAAUAGAGCAGAGCAGCCGAGCGCGGAGUCAGUGGGAGUUUCUCCGGAUCGCCCGCUGCUGUCCACUUGUUUUCCGCUCUACUUAUCUACACGGCGAUACGGACAACGGCUCAAGGAGGAGAUCCAGCUUUAGGAAAGAGGAGAAAAUGCAGACGCAUUCAAUCCCAGCACCGCAUCGAAUAACACCGAGCAGGGCGGAGGGGUUGGACGCAGCGCUCUGUGUGCAGGCGGAGCGGCUGCAGGUCUCAACAAGUGGUUUGGAACACAGCCGCACAAAUACCCUCACACACACCCAUUCAAAUAACCUCACACACACACACACACACCCUGCAGCACCUUUUAAUAGAUGCCCUGUGACUUUGUGUGCGUGCGAGAGAGAGAGAGACACACACACACAAACAGAGGGCGUUACAAAUCACAAGGACUUCAGAUUUUGCAAAGUCGACAAAGUUGAAAUGGGAAAGGUGUAG
ensembl:lncRNA